GACGAACGCUGGCGGCGUGCUUAACACAUGCAAGUCGAACGGAAAGGCCCUGCUUUUGUGGGGUGCUCGAGUGGCGAACGGGUGAGUAACACGUGAGUAACCUGCCCUUGACUUUGGGAUAACUUCAGGAAACUGGGGCUAAUACCGGAUAGGAGCUCCUGCUGCAUGGUGGGGGUUGGAAAGUUUCGGCGGUUGGGGCUGGACUCGCGGCUUAUGAGCUUGUUGGUGGGGUAGUGGCUUACCAAGGCUUUGACGGGUAGCCGGCCUGAGAGGGUGACCGGCCACAUGGGGACUGAGAUACGGCCCAGACUCCUACGGGAGGCAGCAGUGGGGAAUAUUGCACAAUGGGCGGAAGCCUGAUGCAGCAACGCCGCGUGCGGGAUGACGGCCUUCGGGUUGUAAACCGCUUUCGCCUGUGACGAAGCGUGAGUGACGGUAAUGGGUAAAGAAGCACCGGCUAACUACGUG
rnacentral:rRNA from 1 species